CCUACGGGAGGCAGCAGUGGGGGAUAUUGCACAAUGGGCGAAACCCUGAUGCAGCGACGCCGCGUGUGGGAAGACGGUCCUCUGGAUUGUAAACCACUGUCCCCAGGGACGAAGAUGACGGUACCUGGGGAGGAAGCUCCGGCUAACUACGUGCCAGCAGCCGCGGUAAUACGUAGGGAGCGAGCGUUGUCCGGAAUUACUGGGUGUAAAGGGAGCGUAGGCGGGGAUGCAAGUUGGGUGUCAAAACUACCGGCUCAACUGGUAGUCGCACUCAAAACUGCAGCUCUUGAGUGAAGUAGGGGCAGGCGGAAUUCAUAGUGUAGCGGUGAAAUGGGUAGAUAUUAGGAGGAACACCAGUGGCGAGGGCGGCCUGCUGGGCUUUUACUGACGCUGAGGCUCGAAGGUGUGGGGAGCAAACAGGAUUAGAUACCCUUGUGGU
rnacentral:rRNA from 1 species